CUUUCGCUGGGACAUAUUCCAAAAGAGCUUUCGCGUUAUUUGUCUCCUCUCAUGGACAAAGGCGUGGUAGACGUUCAGGGAUAUGUCUCCGAGAGUACAUCGGAAGCUGCACGCCUCAAGCUUGAUUUGCGUGAGAUCCAGAGUCGGACUAUUGGAAGUCUCUCAGAAGAAAAAGUGCUGGCUGUCAAA